UUGAACGCACAUUGCGCCCUCUGGUAUUCCGGGGGGCAUGCCUGUUCGAGCGUCAUU
rnacentral:rRNA from 1 species